UCUGGAGGGUUCACAGGCAUAGAGUGUUGUGGUGAACUGGGAUGUUUGGAUGCUCCCCCCCCCCACUCUGACGCAUUCACUCAGGUUUGUUGACGGUGGAGUGGCUUGAUUUACAUUAAGAUGAAACCUCAUUUACACUGUAAGCGGGAAGAUUAGUGUGAACUACUAUAAAACACUCGAGUAAAUGAUGAUCAGGAUUCAUUCCGACUCUGGUGGAUCUAAGGUGCUUCAUGUACUUUGUUACUGCUGUGCUGUAAAUAAACAUCUUCAUCAAGAUCUUCGAAGCCUCUUCAAUUUUUCUUACAUUGGCAAGCCAACAAGGGAGUUUCCAAAAAAAAAAAAGCAGAAAAAAAAGCAGUUUUCUUUCUUUUAUGCUGUUUUUUUUUGUCAGGGAACCCUUGUUUAAAAAAAAUCUAGAAAAAAAAUUCCUAAGAGCAGAAGACAAUUUAGUUUAUUCAGUAUUAGCAGGAGGAGUUCUUACGCCUAUUCUAUACAAAUUCUGUUUAAGAUUCUAACGGAAUAUCAUCCUAUGUCAGCAAUUGGUGUGAAAAAGCCUCAUCAGAAAGAAUCCCUUAACCAAAGAGAAAUAAAGAUGUGGCCAUGGAUCAUGGCAGUGGUUCUUCCAGUGAUGGUGAUGAUGCAAGAAUGCCCGGAGCUGCAACCAGCACACCCUUCUGGCAUAGUGACGAAACCUAUGGGUGCUGAUCAACAACGUGCAUUGGAUCCAUGUUCCAGUCCUAGUAAACCUGACGGCCUGGUCUCCAGACAUGGAUGAGAGAUGCAGAGAAGAAAGCAUGUGUUACAACUACCCUAGACUAUUAUUUUCAAAGAUGGAAAAGAUCUGAAGUGAACAGGCAAGGAAAGCAAAGAAGCCAUAAAGCUAGGAAUCCUGCUUCCAGACUUUGCAGACCCAAGUUAAUUACCACUUGUUUACUGAUUGCUGGAUUUCAACUGUCCUGUGAACAAUCAGCAACUGAUAGGACAUCCCUGACCAGAGGACGAACCCUCUCAGCCAAGAGGAACCUCUGUCAAACUUAUUGAUCUAGGCCGCUGGCCAAGACCAGAUGGCUCACCCAACACGAUGCUAAAACUGAUAACUACAGAAAAAAGAGGGGACACUCACCCAAGGACCCUCAUGGAAUGAGACCUUUGUUCUCCCCAGGAACAAAAAGUUCACCACCCUUCACACAUUCCACAGAACCCAGCUUUAACAGACUACAUAAGGCUACUUUACAUCUCCUAUAAGGACAAUGACUUAAGAUGAAGCACCAUAGGUUGGAGACUUGUUGCCUCUUUUAAUGUCAUUCCGUAUAUGUGUCAUGCUUAUAGCCACCAGGUCAUUAUGAUGCUUUUUGAUCGUUUAACAGGGAUCAUAGUGUUCGUGUGUGUAUCAGUAACAGCAGGUAUGUCAUGUUUGGUAUGUGUGUGAUCACUAUGGAAUUUCCUAAGGGUUGGUAUAACGUGAAGUUGAGUACGAUGUAUUACAUGCAAAUUCCAAAUUUCUAACUUAACCUUGUGCAAAGUUUGGAAAGCACAUAACUCAGAGAUCAGAAUGUUAAUUAGUGUCAGAGGAGGAGAAUACAGUUUACACCCUGCCCCAAGAUCCUGCUGAUUGGAGCAAACACUUUGGGGUCAGCCCAACUGGAAAGGGUUAAAACCCCCUGACACAAAGGAAACUCUGAGUCUCAUCCACAACAUCUUUCAAGGAGUCUCAUCCAACACAUCUCUGCAAGAGUCUCAUCCACAACACCUGUGCAAGAGUCCAUCAACAUCUUCAGAGAGCCUUUACCAACAUCUUCAAGGAGUACUCUUCAACUAACGGCUCAAGAGAGUCUCCAUCCACAUCUGAAGGAAGUCUCAUCAGCCAAGAGCUUUAGAAGUUCAUCAUGAGGAGAUCAUGCUUGGUCCGAGACUCCGCAUCCAGACUGGUUCUUGCAAAGCCUCCAACUCUCACCUUUGCACCACUGUGAACCAUUCUUCAAUGGUUGGCGAGACUCCGCUGGGUUCGCGCCUCACUCUGUUUAUCUUCCUCAUUGGUCUUUCGAGACGCUACAUAAGGCCAACCAGACCGCCGACCAAUCAACAUCGCCAGAAACUCCUUCCAAACAACAACGCAACGAGGGAAUCCUGGCAACACAAACGCAAGUAUAGUACCUCCAGAUUCUCACUGAACUGGUGCAUUUAAUACAAGUUUAAAGCCCUUCUAAACGAAGCAAAUGUUAAAUCAAACUGAUAAGUUGAUGGUUCGUUCGGGUCAUGGUCUGAGAAACUGCUAGAAACUUGGAAUUUCAUUCACUCUCUUUUCAAAGCCAUUUUCACCCCUGUUUACGUGUGUGUGUGUGUUAGAUUAGUUUCUGUGUUUUAGAAUAGUAAUAAAGUCUCGUCUGAUUUAUAAAGGCCAGUGUCUCGUGUCUCUGUGCUUCAAAUUUAUUGCCUUAAACUGCUGAUCUUGUUACUGUGCUCUUAAUAUAGUGUUUCACUAUAUUUAGGAUAUUAUUGCCGGUGGCCACGGAGGUCAUAUCCCAUACACAAUUAAUAAAUACACUCGUUUCAACUUAUCGCUGGACGAAUAGUUGAUCAGCUAUUAAAAUAUUAAGUUUACAAAUUUCCCCUUCUGAGCUGAUCUGCUAAUCUCGUACAUAUAUUGGUGGAGAAUACAUCAGCUUAACCUAAAUGAGCUAAAUUCCUUACAAUGUAUUUUCCUUAUUGUUUGCCAAUGCAUUAUGUUGUACUAUACGUGCUCUACGUUAAGACGACAAAUUACAGCUUGAUGAUCACUUUAGGAUGUUCUUGUUGGCUGUGAUGGUUCCUGAAUGCCCCUCUUCCAACCAUAGAAUAUUUGAAACAGUACCAAAUUUUAAGAGAGACCCUAUGUUGAUUUUGCCUAACUGGAUGGAGCUGUAACCAGUGUGCAGGAGGUGAUGACCUAAUGACGGGUAAGAUUCUCCAGUGGCCAGAGAGGGACAACCUAAGGCAGGUCUUCACCGCCACUGCCCUAUAGGAAGUGUGAUUAGUAAAAAGCGAGUGGAUGUGAUGCUUCGUUUGGGCCAAGAGCAUCAAAAGGUGGUGUGAUUAGUAAAAAGCGAGUGUGGAUGUAAUGCUUCUUUUGGGCCAAGAGCAUCAAAGGGGGGACUGUAAGAAACGUUUUCUGCCCCAACCCAGCUUCCACUCCGAAGUAGGUGAGAGAACGAGGCUCAUUCCCAAAACGACUUAAUUAACAGAGACAGUGUAUUUUGAUAUCAACAAUGUGUGAAUAGUGUCAUCUGAAGACACAAAACCAAUUGUAGAAUGGGAGCAGCAGUGGGACAUUGAGAACCAUCACAAUUGAGUAUUCAAUUGUGAUUGCCGGUCAGAAAGACAAACGUCUCUCUGACUACAUAAUCCUAUCACCCUACCAUUUGGAACAAUAGUAAUGGGCUGGCAACAGAAGGGUAUCACCUUGGGUGUUGUUCUUGAUUACAUUAAAAUGAAACCUCAUUUACAUUGUAAGCAGGAAGAUUAGAGUGAAAUAGUAUAAAACUCUUGAGUAAAUGAUGAUCAGGAUUCAUUCAGACUCCGGUGGAUCCAAGGUGCUUCAUGUACUUUGUUACUGCUGUGCUGUAAAUAAACCUCUUCAUCAAGAUCUUCGCUGCCUUUUCAAUUUUUCUUACACAGAACAACGAACUAGACAUACACAUACAUAAUAAAAACAGAAUAUAAUAAAAUCUAGUAGACUAUAUGAUAAAGAAAGCUUAGAAGCCCUUAGAGGAAUGUAAUGUAGAAUGAAUAUACAUAAAUAGAAUAUGUUUUUUAAAAAAAAACAUAUAUAGAGCUGUAGUCUGAAAAAAAAAUCAUAAUGCAACUGUUUCUGUAUAGAAAUAUACAAAGCUGUACAGUGUAAGAGUUAUGUAGUUUGCAAAAAAAUUGUUUUUCCAUAGUGCGAACUGUUUGUGUAUGUGUGUGUGUGUGUGUGUGUGUGUGUGUGUGUGUGUGUGUGCGCGUGUGUGUGUGU